UGUGGUGCUACAGUAACCAUUUGCUAAUAAUAGAAUAAUUAGAUUUAAUAGAUUCGUCCGCGAAUUAACCCAGGUUCUGCAAUUAAUUUUAUAAUUAACUCAUAUUUAAUCCUCCUAAUUAGGAUCUGAACACUAAAUAUCCACGGUAGAGCCUUGAAUGGAUCGAGAAAAUAGCUGGAGGGAGUUACAUGCAAUUAAUUUUAUAAUUAACUCAUAUUUAAUCCUCCUAAUUAGGAUCUGAACAUCAAUCGAUGUUUAAUCCUCCUAAUCAUCAAUUGGUUAGUAUCAAGCACCCCCUAAAUAUCCACGAGCCUCGAAUGGAUCAAGAAAAUAGCUGUAGGGAGUUACAUGCAUAAAACCGUCCACGUCAUGUGUCACGGUAGCAAAGUAGAUCUAUAGUACACGUGACCAUAUAUGCACAAAAUUCAUGUAUCCGCUACUUACUGGAUUAAAGUGAUAUAUUUUAUAUGCUGUUUGGUAGGAAUCGAUUGUGCAAAUCGAUUGCCUGUUCAGCGAAUACAUUUCCUUUAUAAAGUCUAAACUUGGGCCAGGUAAGACUACUCGUGCCCAUGGGCUGCAGCCCAAAGAUUUUUUUUAACUAGGCCCAUUCAGAUCAGUCGGAUGGGGAUGGCAUGGGGAGCGCCAUGUCUGACGGUGACUUGUGAGGAACUGAGCAUGCGCUUGCUGCUGCCUGAUAAACACACAUUCUAAGCUGAAGAAUCAAAUGGAAGUCGGGGAAAGAUCACAGAAAAUCAAGUGUUGCUUCUCUACGGCGCCGGCAGAUUUUCACGAGGCUGCCGCCGACUGAGCGCUCGUUACGCAGCAAACACAGAGAAAGAUCUUUAGCUAAGCAGAGGAAGAAGUGCACCCAAAACCCAGCGAAUUUCACCCGGAAACUGGAAGAACGCAACCGCAAAUCAGAACCGGGACGGCAACCCCAGCAUGGAAACACGAGAAACGAAGAACAAAAAGAAAAGAUCGAUGCGCUCGUUCCGGCAUCCGAAGCGGAUGGGUGCGGGCGAUGGAAGGAGCCCAUGGAAAUCAUCGGAUUAGAUGGCAUAGGAAAGUGGCAGCGGAGGCCGGCUAGCAACUUUCCCAAGCACCUAAUCCUACAACUCCCAGGAGCUCUGCUCCCGUCGCCACCCCUCCGUCUGCUCUCAGCUCUACCCGGUCUAGGCCUCGGCUACACCCUCGCUUGCUUCGCUGCCGCGAUGUGCCGCAGCUCCGGCGGACGGCGGCACGUAUAUAUAGGGCCAUAGGGGAGGUUGGCGGUGGGUGCGCUCCGGGUUGGCUGAGGCAAGGCAAGGCAUCGAAGAAGGUG
rnacentral:lncRNA from 1 species